rnacentral:rRNA from 1 species
AUUGAACGCUGGCGGCAUGCCUUACACAUGCAAGUCGAACGGUAACAGGUUAAGCUGACGAGUGGCGAACGGGUGAGUAAUACAUCGGAACGUGCCCAGACGUGGGGGAUAGCUCGGCGAAAGCCGGAUUAAUACCGCAUAAGCUCUGAGGAGGAAAGCGGGGGACCGUAAGGCCUCGCGCGUUUGGAGCGGCCGAUGGCAGAUUAGGUAGUUGGUGGGGUAAAGGCUUACCAAGCCUACGAUCUGUAGCUGGUCUGAGAGGACGACCAGCCACACUGGGACUGAGACACGGCCCAGACUCCUCCGGGAGGCAGCAGGGGGGAAUUUUGGACAAUGGGCGAAAGCCUGAUCCAGCAAUGCCGCGUGCAGGAUGAAGGCCUUCGGGUUGUAAACUGCUUUUGUACGGAACGAAAAGGCGCCUACUAAUACUGGGUGUUGAUGACGGUACCGUAAGAAUAAGCACCGGCUAACUACGUGCCAGCCGCCGCAGUAA